ACACAGUCAUGUUAGCAGGCACACAGUCAUGUUAGCAGGCACACAGUCAUGUUAGCAGGCACACAGUCAUGUUAGCAGGCAGACAGUCAUGUCUCUAGGCACACAGUCAUGUUAGCAGGCACACAGUCAUGUUAGCAGGCACACAGUCAUGUUAGCAGGCACACAGUCAUGUUAGCAGGCAGACAGUCAUGUUAGCAGGCACACAGUCAUGUUAGCAGGUACACAGUCAUGUUAGCAGGCACACAGUCAUGUCUCUAGGCACACAGUCAUGUUAGCAGGUGCACAGUCAUGUUGGCAGGCAGACAGUCAUGUUAGCAGGCACACAGUCAUGUUAGCAGGCACACAGUCAUGUUAGCAGGCAGACAGUCAUGUUAGCAGGCACACAGUCAUGUUAUCAGGCACACUGUCAUGUCUCUAGGCACACAGUCAUGUUAGCAGGCACACAGUCAUGUUAGCAGGCACACAGUCAUGUUAGCAGGCAGACAGUCAUGUUAGCAGGCACACUGUCAUGUCUCUAGGUGCACAGUCAUGUUAGCAGGCACACAGUCAUGUUAGCAGGCACACAGUCAUGUUAGCAGGCAGACAGUCAUGUUAGCAGGCACACAGUCAUGCUAGCAGGCACACUGUCAUGUUAGCAGGCACACAGUCAUGUUAGCAGGCACACAGUCAUGCUAGCAGGUACACUGUCAUGUUAGCAGGCACACAGUCAUGUUAGCAGGCACACAGUCAUGUUAGCAGGCACACAGUCAUGUUAGCAGGUACACUGUCAUGUUAGCAGGUACACAGUCAUGUUAGCAGGCACACAGUCAUGUCUCUAGGUACACAGUCAUGUCUCUAGGUACACUGUCAUGUUAGCAGGCACACAGUCAUGUUAGCAGGCACACAGUCAUGUUAGCAGGCACACAGUCAUGUUAGCAGGCACACAGUCAUGUUAGCAGGCACACAGUCAUGUUAGCAGGUACACAGUCAUGUUAGCAGACACACAGUCAUGUUAGCAGGCACACUGUCAUGUUAGCAGGUACACUGCCAUGUUAUCAGGCACACAGUCAUGUUAGCAGGCACACAGUCAUGUUAGCAGGCACACGGACAUGUUAGCAGGCACACAGUCAUGUUAGCAGGCACACAGUCAUGUUAGCAGGCACACAGUCAUGUUAGCAGG
rnacentral:lncRNA from 1 species